UUUUACGGAUAAGCAAAGAAAGUAGUUUCUUGAGAUGGAACCUACUCCUGGUGAAGAUUCUGUGAA
rnacentral:pre_miRNA from 1 species